rnacentral:rRNA from 1 species
CGGACCAAACUCCUACGGGAGGCAGCAGUGAGGAAUAUUGGUCAAUGGCCGAGAGGCUGAACCAGCCAAGUCGCGUGAGGGAUGAAGGUUCUAUGGAUCGUAAACCUCUUUUAUAAGGGAAUAAAGUGCGGGACGUGUCCCGUUUUGUAUGUACCUUAUGAAUAAGGAUCGGCUAACUCCGUGCCAGCAGCCGCGGUAAUACGGAGGAUCCGAGCGUUAUCCGGAUUUAUUGGGUUUAAAGGGUGCGUAGGCGGCCUUUUAAGUCAGCGGUGAAAGUCUGUGGCUCAACCAUAGAAUUGCCGUUGAAACUGGGGGGCUUGAGUAUGUUUGAGGCAGGCGGAAUGCGUGGUGUAGCGGUGAAAUGCAUAGAUAUCACGCAGAACCCCGAUUGCGAAGGCAGCCUGCCAAGCCAUGACUGACGCUGAUGCACGAAAGCGUGGGGAUCAAACAGGAUUAGAUACCCUGGUAGUCCACGCAGUAAACGAUGAUCACUAGCUGUUUGCGAUACACUGUAAGCGGCACAGCGAAAGCGUUAAGUGAUCCACCUGGGGAGUACGCCGGCAACGGUGAAACUCAAAGGAAUUGACGGGGGCCCGCACAAGCGGAGGAACAUGUGGUUUAAUUCGAUGAUACGCGAGGAACCUUACCCGGGCUUAAAUUGCAGAUGAAUUACGGUGAAAGCCGUAAGCCGCAAGGCAUCUGUGAAGGUGCUGCAUGGUUGUCGUCAGCUCGUGCCGUGAGGUGUCGGCUUAA